UUGGAACGGUGCCGUUUUUAGUACAGCCCUUAAACCCUCAUUUUUGCUCCUUUUCUCCUAUUUUCUUUUCCAAUUGCAGGCCGCCUUUUAACAAACAUCUAUAACCUAAAAUCAAUCUGCUAAGGCUUCAUUUAGUAGUCGCCGAACCCACCAUUCAAUUUGAUGGUCGACGGUGCGCGAGCAGAGACCCGAUCUUGCCAACAAAGGUCACCCAUGGAAAUCUGGUAAGUUAAUCCUUCUCCUUUUCUUCGUUGAAAAAAACUCACAUAAUGUAUUAUUCUUUCUAAAAACAAAGCAGAAAUUCAAAAGAAAAGAAACAUUCGACCCUCGCCCCGAAUCUCUAUAUUUUUGAGAUAUGUGGGCGUUCAUUGGUGUCGAUUCAAGUAUUUUCAUUUUUUCAUGGUAAUAUUGUGAGCAAAUUGAAAGAAACAAAAAGAAAUAAAAAGAUUUUUGGGAUCACCUUUGGAUAAUUUUAUGACCGCUCUUUUUUAAUAUUUCGUAUGUAUUUCAGUGUGCGUAGUAUGCGUGUGUAAAAAUUAAAGGAUUACAUCAAUGGCUUUUUAUAGCUGGAUUUACAAAAUAAGUAGAAAAUUGAAAAUCCUAUUUUCCUAUUGUCAUUUGCUGUGUAUUCUGAUUUAUUCUUUUGCAGGUUCGGCCAUACAGAGGAACGAGGGGAGGCAUGCGUGAAGGAGGCCGUGCGGGGAACCACUCGUGGGAGCCCGACCCUUUGGCACUAUUCUAGCAUAUUCUAGAAGUUUCUCGGCUGCCGAGUUUCUUUGGGUUCUAUUAGGUCUCGAAUUUGGGCUAUUGGAAUCGGGUUUGGGUAUUGAGUGGAUAGCUUGGGUUUUAAUUUAAGCCCGAAAUUCUGUACAUGGGUUAGGAUUAUUGGGUCAUUAGGCUAGAUUUUUUGGGUUAAAGAUUUUGUAUAUAAUUGUUAGGAUAUAAAUUUGGGUUUCAUUUAGGCCCUGAAUUUUGUAAAUGAACGUUGGCCUCAUAAACAUUUUAGUUUAUUUAUUUCUAUUUGAUACACAUAUUUUUUUUAUUUUUGGUUUUUGAUUUAUUAUAGGCCCGGGCAAAUUGGGCCUAUUACAUAUAUUAAUCACAAGUAGUCUC
rnacentral:lncRNA from 1 species